ensembl:lncRNA
UAAACUCAUUAACUGAUGCAAUCAUCUGAUCACUGGAUUUUUUUUGUCAAUUGCUGAUCCAUGACCAGUAGGUAAGCAGUAAGCCAGCUGAGAGAUGUCAUUUCUCCAGUGUGUCCUGGGUCUACCCCAGGGCCUCCUCCAAAAAGAAGAGGCUUUCUCAUUCCAUCUGGGAUCUCCCUCCUGCUGAGGUGGAGACACAGUUUUUGUCAAGAUGGGUGGCUUCAGGUCUUCAGUACUCUUGGGGGCUGCACAUGGCCCAGAUCUACUACCUCAAUAUCUGUCUGCAUCUGGCUCCUAGUGGGCCUUUGUGCAGCUUAUUGCCUUCAUUAUCAAGUACAUUUUGUGACAAGGACACAUACAUACACAUUAUCUCUCUCACUCACUCACACACACGCACGCGGACACACACACACGCACACACACAAAACACAAGGAGAGUGUUGAUUUGCAUAUUUGUGUAUUACACUUUCCUGUUUGGAUUCUAUCCUUUUAUUAUAUUUUCUUCUUUUUUCCUCCCCUGUUCCUUUUUCCUUUUUUUUCCUAUUUUUCUUCCCUCCUGCCUGUCAGCUUAGACAAUACCAUAUUAUACAUAUAGUGUAAUAACAGAAAUAACAGUAAUAUCAUUGAAUAACUAAAAAGACGAAAGUAACACAUGAACCAGAGGAGCCUAUAGAUAACUUAUAGAGCUUAUCUUGGAAAAACAAGUGUGUUUGGCACAACAUCACAUUCAGAUGGCAGACAAGACAGGCUAAAAAACAAAAGAAGACAACUUUGAUUGUUUUGGUACCCACUAAACACUACUCACUAGAUUAAAAUAUGUCAUAAAUAUAAAAAAAUAUAUAUGUAGUUUGUAGGACAAAUUUAGUGUCAGCAUGUAUAGUGUGUACUCAGUUUUUUUUCAUUCCUUUCAUACUUCUGAUCUGAUUUGUCUCUACUACAAAAACUAACUAAACCAGUCCAAGAAAAUACUCGGCUAUGAGGUCACUGAAAUUUGACAUAUGAGUUACAGUACUCACUGUUCUUUCUGUGGUCAUGGCAGAUAAAUAAAUGGUCUCCUGUUAAA